GACGAACGCUGGCGGCGUGCCUAAUACAUGCAAGUCGAACGCAGUGGGGACGGGUGAGUAACACGUGGGUAACCUCCCAUCAGAGGGGAUAACACUUGGAAACAGGUGCUAAACCGAUACUGAUGGAUGGACCCGCGGUGCAUUAGCUAGUUGGUGAGGUAACGGCUCACCAGGGCCACGAUGCAUAGCCGACCUGAGAGGGUGAUCGUCAACACUGGGACUGAGAAACGGCCCAGCCGCCAACGGGAGGAAGCAGGAGGGAAUCUUCGGUAAGGAACGAAAGUCUGACCGAGCAACGCCGCGUGAGUGAAGAAGGUGAUCGGAUCGUAAAACUCUGGUGUUAGAGAAGCGGUAUCUAACCAGAAAGCCACGGCUAACGACGUGCCAUCAGCCGCGGUAAUUC
rnacentral:rRNA from 1 species